GGGUCAGUAGGUUGGUCGUGCCACCGGUACGUACUGGUCUCACUGAUUCCUCCUUCCUGAAGAACCGUAAUGCCAUUAAUUUGGUGUUGCGGGGAAACAGGACUGUUACUUUGAAAAAAUUAGAGUGUUUAAAGCAAGCUAACGCCUGAAUACAUUAGCAUGGAAUGAUGAAAUAGGACGAUCGAUCCUAUUUUGUUGGUUUCUAGGAUUGACGUA
rnacentral:rRNA from 1 species